AUCGACUCCAGGGCACUAACGACAACAAAAGUAUAUUUGGAUAUGACUGAAAGUGUCAGUGUGUGACCUUUAGCACUUUUAACCCUGAUUCCAUUUACACUGUCUACUGCACGGAAAGUGUGAGGAGAGCAAAUCGUUAUUUGCUGUUCUGUUUCCUGACUUUAUCGUUGAAACAAUAUGUCAAUCAAAGUAAGAGGUACCUUCUUAGAUUAUUCAUCGACUGAAGACUGCAGUCACUCUUUGAAAUGAAUAAUUUCUGUCACCAUAAGAUUUACACUCAGAAAUUCAGGAAGUAGAAGAAAUACACCACAGGGAAACAAUCAGGCAAAUCCAGACGGUGAGUCAUUCCGCAGAACGACUGACCUGAUCUCAUCAGUAAUGGGAGCCUAUGGAUAAAUACUUCCCCUUUCUUCCCCAAGAUAGAUGGUCCUGAGAAAAAUUUUAGGAUAUUUUGUGGGAUUGAGGAACCAGUCAUGGUAAAGGUGGCCAGGUCAAUAAGGCAUCUUUGUACUGGCUCUCCUUUCCUUCUUCUCUCCCCUAGCCCUCACUGUUGACCCCUGAAUCACACUCUCCAAUAGAGAGCUUGGACUUAAGCCUCCUUUCAGGUUUUGCUUUCUGGGGGACCCACACUAAGAUGGAGAGGAAGUGAAGUGCUGCUAACAGGUUUAAGAAACCAAUGAGCCCGUUAGUUUAUUUAGUAUUUUCUAUACAACAUAGAUUUUCGGCCCAGUUAGGACAAAGAUUACACAUAAAUACUUCCUAAGAUUAUGGGACAGGAAUGACAAAUAGGUGAAUUUGAGUUAAUGAGAGCAGAAAAGGAUUCUAAAGCUAUAAUCAAUUAGCAAAUCUAUUUUAGGCACCAUAUUGAGGUAUGUCAUCAACCAUGUUUGUCAUCCUUAGACUAAAAGAUGAAGGUGAUUAAGGGAAAGAUGGGAGGUAAUUAUGUACACUAAUAGAACAACAACAACAAAAAAGGCCAUUGUUUUCCGGUGACUUAGAUAGAGUCAUUUUUAUGAGCCCUACGUGGUACUCACAGGUAUUUCUCCCACAGUCUCUUUGACUUCAUCAUCUAGGAUUCUCCUUCAGUUCUCUACAACUUCACUGGUCUCCAAAUGCGUGCCCAUCUCACAAACUUUGCAUCUGUGGCUCCUUCUACGUGCAUGUCUUGCUCCCUCACUUCCUUCAUGUCUCUGCUCAAAUAUUAGUGAGGAG
rnacentral:lncRNA from 1 species